GACGAACGCUGGCGGCGUGCCUAAUACAUGCAAGUCGAACGCAGUGGGGACGGGUGAGUAACACGUUGGUAACCUCCCAUCAGAGCGGAUAACACUUGGAAACAGGUGCUAAACCGAAAUUGAUGGAUGGACCCGCGGUGCAUUAGCUAGUGGGUGAGGUAACGGCCCACCAAGGCCAUGAUGCAUAGCCGUCCUGGGAGGGUGAUCGGCCACACUGGGCCGGAGACACGGCCCAGACUCCUAGGGGAGGAAGCGGUGGGGAAUCUUCGGCAAUGGACGAAAGCCUGACCGAGCAAGGCCGCGGGAGUGAAGAAGGUUUUCGGAUCGUAAAACUCUUUUGUUAGAGAAGCGGUAUCUAACCAGAAAGCCACGGCUAACUACGUGCCAGCAGCCGCGGUAAUAC
rnacentral:rRNA from 1 species